rnacentral:rRNA from 1 species
GAUGAACGCUGGCGGCGUGCCUAAUACAUGCAAGUCGAGCGAAAGGACGCGACGCUUGCUUCUCUGUCGUUAGCGGCGGACGGGUGUGUCACAUGUGUAUACCCCACCUAUAUGACUGGGAUCACUUCGGGACUCCGGCGAUUAUACCGGAUAAUCUUUUGAACCGCAUGGUUGAAUAGUGAGAGACGGUCUUGCUGUAUCUUAUAGAUGGAUCCGCGCUGCAUUAGCUAGUUGGUAAGGUCACGGCUUACCAAGGCAACGAUGCAUAGCCGACCUGAGAGAGUGAUCGGCGACCCUGGAACGGAGACACGGUCCAUACGACUACGAGACGCAGCAGUAGGGAAUCGUACGCAAUGGGCGGGAGCCUUACAGAGCAGCGGGGCGUGAGUGAUGAAGGUCUUCGGUGCGGAAAACUCUGUUAUUGGUGGAAAACAGAUUUGGAAGGAACUGAGGAGAUCGUGACGGUACCGAGUCAGAAAGCCACGGCUAACUACGUG